GCAGUGAGGAAUCUUGCACAAUGGGCGAAAGCCUGAUGCAGCGACGCCGCGUGGAGGAUGAAUGCCGUAAGGUUGUAAACUCCUUUUGAGAGGGACGAAAACCCAUAUUUCGUAAGGGAUAUGGUUUGACUGUACCUCUAGAAGAAGCCCCGGCUAACUACGUGCCAGCAGCCACGGUAAUACGUAGGGGGCAAGCGUUGUCCGGAUUUACUGGGUGUAAAGGGCGCGUAGGCGGAUUUGUAAGUCAGAGGUGAAAGCCCGCAGCUUAACUGCGGAACUGCCUUUGAUACUGCUUAUCUUGAGUUCGGAAGAGAGAAGCGGAAUUCCAGGUGUAGUAGUGAAAUACGUAGAUAUCUGGAAGAACACCAGUGGCGAAGGCGGCUUCUUGGUCCGUAACUGACGCUGAGGCGCGAAAGCGUGGGGAGCAAACAGGAUUAGAUACCCCAGUAGUCC
rnacentral:rRNA from 1 species